rnacentral:rRNA from 1 species
CCUACGGGUGGCAGCAGUGAGGAAUAUUGGUCAAUGGGCGGGAGCCUGAACCAGCCAAGUAGCGUGAGGGACGACGGUCCUAUGGAUUGUAAACCUCUUUUGUCGGGGAAUAAAGUCGCCCACGGGUGGGCGGAUGAGUGUACCCGAAGAAUAAGCAUCGGCUAACUCCGUGCCAGCAGCCGCGGUAAUACGGAGGAUCCGAGUGUUAUCCGGAUUUAUUGGGUUUAAAGGGGGGGUAGGCGGUCAGUAAAGUCAGCGGGAAAAAUGGGGUGCUCAACGCAGUACAGACGGUGAAACUGGCAGUCUUGAGUGGGGUAGAGGUAUGCGGAAUGCGUGGUGUAGCGGUGAAAUGCUUAGAUAUCACGAAGAACGCCGAUUGCGAAGGCAGCAUACCGGAGCGCAACUGACGCUGAGGCACGAAAGCGUGGGUAUCGAACAGGAUGAGAUACCCGAGUAGUC